AAAUACAGUAUGUUGUGGUUAUAACUAAGCCUUAAUUUAUGGAAGGAAGAAAUGUGGAGACUCAUACCCUUUAAUUUGAUAGGUGAGGUAACAGAGAAGAUAAAAGAGUUUCCCACAAUCAUGACACCAGCUAGAGGCAAAGUUAACACUGGAACCCAGGUCUACUCAUUGCAGGACGGGUAAAUUGAUGUGAGUGGGGUGAACACAGUCGAGGAGUGAGAUCUGGCUUUGAAUCCUGACUUUUCCCCUUGACAGCUCUGUGACCUUGGCCAUGUCACUUAACUUCCCUCCGCUUCAAUGUCUUCAUCUACAAACCAGGAAUAAUAGUAUAUAUCACAAAAUGUAUCUAAGAUACAAAUGAGACACUGUGAAGUCCUUGGCACAGACUUAUAAAAGAAGUAGAACACACAUGCUUCCCAUUAGGUGAGAAAGAAACAUGCCUGAGAGUCUAAUGGAUUACUCAAGUCUGUGCUGCCAAGGAAGAACAGAAUCUUUAGAUAUCAUGUGUUUUACAAAUUGAAGUUUGUGGAAACCCUGCAUCAAACAAGUCUAUUGGUGACAUUUUCCCAACAGCAUUUGCUCACUUUGUGUUUCUGUGUCACAUGUUGAUAAUUCUUACAAUAUUUGAAACCUUUUUUAUUAUUAUACAUGUUCUGGUGAUCUGUGAUCAGUGAUCUUUGAUGUUACUACUGUAAUUUUUUUGGAUGCUGUGAACUGUGCCCAUAUAAAAUGGUGAAUUAAAUCAAUA
rnacentral:lncRNA from 1 species